UCAAAAAGCAUCUCAUAAGAAGUGGUUGGAUGACAAUAACAAGGUUAGGUGCUACAUGUUGGCGUCAAUGUCUAAUAAAGUAUAACACCAACACGAAGACUGCUAAACAAAUGCUGGUUUACCAACAAGAGUUGUAUAGUGAAUAGAGUUGCGCAGCUCGCUACGAAGUAUCCAAAUGACUCUUCAAACCAAAGAAGCAUG
rnacentral:lncRNA from 1 species